rnacentral:lncRNA from 1 species
AUUAGUAGAGAGGAAAUUUGAAAUAACAGCAGCAGAGAUCAAACAAUUUAUUGCUCAAACAAAUUAAACAAAGGAAAUUGGAAAUCAAGUAUCACCAAAAAAGACCUUAGAAAUGGGUCUUGAUGUUUAUUCUUCAAAAUAUGGUCCAAUGAUCAUAAAAGAACCAUAAAUAUACUUGAAAUCUCAAGGUGAUGCCAAAUUAUUUAGUUGAACCAAAUCGUUCCACUCAUGCACCUCCAUGGGCAGUUCAAGAUAGACAGUCUUCGAUGGAUUCAUCAGUGUAUGAGACCCAAUCGUGUCUCCUCCAAUGACCAAACUAUGGGUAAUAGAGAAUAAAAGGGAGAUGUUUCUCACUAGAAAAGUGGUGAAAAUUAAUUUUUAAGUCAAACAAAUCAAAAAUAAGACAGUUGCUAAUCUCGACGGCUCUUAGUGGUGAAGUUCACAUACCACCGUUUAAAAUUUUACACAUCCAAUAAGGCUCUAACACCAUGUAACUAAAUGGAGAGAAUAACUUGUAUAUUAUUUAAUAGAUAAUAGGUAUAAAUACAAUAUCAUUAGGAGCUAACUAAGGAAAGAAUAAAGAAGACAAAAUUAUUAAGAGAUAUUCCGAUAAUCUACUACAAUUUAUGAUGUUGUACAACAUCAAGAAAUAAGUCUAAAUACAUCUUUUCCAAUUUGUCCAGUGGUUUAUCUAGAUUACUCUAGAAGGCGAGAUACUAAUUUACAAGUUUUACAUAAGUUUCUUCGUCAUCAGAACCAUCUCAAAGUGAUUCUCUAGGGAAUCAUGACCUUCUAAUUUCUCAUUGAAAAGGUACACACUUAAAAAUCCAUAUAUUCUUUUGGUAACUUUAUUUCUUACGACCACUUAUCUCCCAAAUCAAUAUCUCUGACUGCAUCCUUAGACUCUAUUUUUGUACUAAAAGCUAUUAUGGAGGCUUUGAAUUAUCUUGAAUGGUUUAAAGUAAUGCUUGAGGAAAUAUAUCCGUUAGAUGAAAA